UACCACCCUUUAAUGUUUGAUGUUCUAACGUGGACCCGUGAUCCGGGUUGCGGACAGUGUCUGGUGGGUAGUUUGACUGGGGCGGUCUCCUCCUAAAGAGUAACGGAGGAGCACGAAGGUUGGCUAAUCCUGGUCGGACAUCAGGAGGUUAGUGCAAUGGCAUAAGCCAGCUUGACUGCGAGCGUGACGGCGCGAGCAGGUGCGAAAGCAGGUCAUAGUGAUCCGGUGGUUCUGAAUGGAAGGGCCAUCGCUCAACGGAUAAAAGGUACUCCGGGGAUAACAGGCUGAUACCGCCCAAGAGUUCAUAUCGACGGCGGUGUUUGGCACCUCGAUGUCGGCUCAUCACAUCCUGGGGCUGAAGUAGGUCCCAAGGGUAUGGCUGUUCGCCAUUUAAAGUGGUACGCGAGCUGGGUUUAGAACGUCGUGAGACAGUUCGGUCCCUAUCUGCCGUGGGCGCUGGAGAACUGAGGGGGGCUGCUCCUAGUACGAGAGGACCGGAGUGGACGCAUCACUGGUGUUCGGGUUGUCAUGCCAAUGGCACUGCCCGGUAGCUAAAUGCGGAAGAGAUAAGUGCUGAAAGCAUCUAAGCACGAAACUUGCCCCGAGAUGAGUUCUCCCUGAGACUUAAAGUCUCCUGAAGGAACGUUGAAGACGACGACGUUGAUAGGCCGGGUGUGUAAGCGCAGCGAUGCGUUGAGCUAACCGGUACUAAUGAACCGUGAGGCUUAACCUUACAACGCCGAAG
rnacentral:rRNA from 1 species